GCUGGCGGCAUGNCUUAACACAUGCAAGUCGAACGGUAACAGGCGGAAGCUUGCUUUCGCGCUGACGAGUGGCGGACGGGUGAGUAACGCGUGGGAAUCUGCCCUGCAGCGGGGGACAACCCGGAGAAAUCCGGGCUAAUACCGCAUACGCUCCAUGGAGGAAAGCCGGGGACCUUCGGGCCUGGCACUGCAGGAUGAGCCCGCGUUGGAUUAGCUAGUAGGUGAGGUAAAGGCUCACCUAGGCGACGAUCCAUAGCUGGACUGAGAGGAUGAUCAGCCACACUGGGACUGAGACACGGCCCAGACUCCUACGGGAGGCAGCAGUGGGGAAUAUUGGACAAUGGGCGCAAGCCUGAUCCA
rnacentral:rRNA from 1 species